rnacentral:rRNA from 1 species
AUUGAACGCUGGCGGCAUGCUUUACACAUGCAAGUCGAACGGCAGCGCGGGCUUCGGCCUGGCGGCGAGUGGCGAACGGGUGAGUAAUGCAUCGGAACGUGCCCAGUAGUGGGGGAUAGCCCGGCGAAAGCCGGAUUAAUACCGCAUACGACCUGUGGGUGAAAGCGGGGGACCGAAAGGCCUCGCGCUAUUGGAGCGGCCGAUGUCGGAUUAGCUAGUUGGUGGGGUAAAGGCUUACCAAGGCGACGAUCCGGAGCUGGUCUGAGAGGACGACCAGCCACACUGGGACUGAGACACGGCCCAGACUCCUACGGGAGGCAGCAGUGGGGAAUUUUGGACAAUGGGGGCAACCCUGAUCCAGCCAUGCCGCGUGCGGGAAGAAGGCCUUCGGGUUGUAAACCGCUUUUGUUCGGGAAGAAAUCCUCUGGGCUAAUACCCCGGGGGGAUGACGGUACCGGAAGAAUAAGCACCGGCUAACUACGUG